rnacentral:rRNA from 1 species
AUUGAACGCUGGCGGCAUGCUUUACACAUGCAAGUCGGACGAGUGGCGAACGGGUGAGUAACGCAUCGGAACGUACCGAGUAAUGGGGGAUAACUGUCCGAAAGGACAGCGAAUACCGCAUAUUAUUCGAGCGGCCGAUGCCUGAUUAGCUGGUUGGCGGGGUAAAGGCCCACCAAGGCGACGAUCAGUAGCGGGUCUGAGAGGAUGAUCCGCCACAAGGGAACUGCGACACGGCCCAGACUCGUACGGUAGGCAGCAUUGGGGAAUUUUGGACAAUGGGCGCAAGCCGGAUCCAGCCAUGCGGCGUGUCUUAAGAAGGCCUUCGGGUUGUAAAGGACUUUUGUCAGGGAAGCGGUACCUGAAGAAUAAGCACCGGCUAACUACGUGCCAGCCGCCGCGGUAAUAC